UACGAAGGGGGCGAGCGUUGUUCGGAUUUACUGGGCGUAAAGGGCGCGCAGGCGGUCAUUUUUGUCGAGUGUGAAAGCCCCGGGCUUAACCUGGGAACUGCGCUCGAAACGGGAUGACUAGAGAUCGGGAGAGGAGAGUGGAAUUCCCAGUGUAGAGGUGAAAUUCGUAGAUAAUUGGGAAGAACACCGGGUGGCGAAGGCGGCUCUCUG
rnacentral:rRNA from 1 species